rnacentral:sRNA from 1 species
GUCGGUUUGGUACACAGAACCAAUAAAGCGGUUUAGUAAAGCAGUCCUCAUCUCAAGCGUUAUUCCUAAAUAAUCCUUUUUUCGAGCCUCCUUAUCGUUAUUAAUUAAUUUCUGUGAUGCGAACUUUUUCGCCGCAAGGCUUUGAAUAUUGGGAUAAUACUUAUGUCUGGUAAGAUGAUUGGUUUAGUAAAAUGGUUUAAUGAAGGUAAAGGUUUUGGCUUUAUUUCUCCAGUAGACGGCAGCAAAGAUGUUUUCGUACAUUUUUCUGCGCUGCAGGGUGAUGGCUUUAAAACUUUAUUUGAAGGGCAGAAGGUCGAAUUCACUAUCGAGAGCGGUGCCAAAGGCCCUGCUGCCGGUAAUGUCGUUCUGCGCGACUAAUUAAUUUUGCGUUUUUAUGAAUCUGCGAUAACGAUGACGGUGUAAUCC